rnacentral:rRNA from 1 species
UACAGAGGGGGCAAGCGUUAUUCGGAAUUAUUGGGCGUAAAGGGCGCGUAGGCGGCUUUGCAAGUGACGGGUGAAAUCCCUCGGCUUAACCGAGGAACUGCCUGUCAGACUGCAUGGCUUGAGACCGGGAGAGGUGAGUGGAAUUCCCAGUGUAGCGGUGAAAUGCGUAGAUAUUGGGAGGAACACCAGUGGCGAAGGCGGCUCACUGGACCGGUACUGACGCUGAGGCGCGAAAGCUAGGGGAGCAAACAGG